UUGGCAGGCCAUGCACAAAAUAUCACAGCUCGUAAAUCGACAGCACAGCUGAGGCCCCGCAACUCCCCCUACCGCACUGCCUUUGAGUAGUCAAUGUGUCCUCUGUGCUGGUCCGGGGCGUUUUUUUGGGGCGUCGGCUGGCGCGCGAAUUAUGCCACCAAGCGGCAACAAAUGAAAUGAGCACCAAGACCAAACAAGAAGAAAAAUCUGUGGAUUGUUUUUCAUGCAUUGCUAAAUUGGCCUGGCCUGAGCUUGUGAUGCAGCCUUGCCGCCAGUUGCCAUGUUGCAAGUUGCCAGUUGCCCCUUGCUCGGUGCCAUGUUGCACGUGCGCCUUGCGCCUGGCUUCCAAACGGGUUUUGCGCUCUGGGCUUUGCGCGCACUUUAAUUUGCCAAAUGGCAGCAGCGGCAAAGAUAACUAAAGCCGCGCUAUGGAGACGGCAACUGGGACUAAGACCACGUCUACAACUGCGACUGUGCUGAAGGACAUUUGGCGUCUGGGCAAAUGAGCUAGAAAAAUUGCGAAAAUGCAGCCGCAACAAAGUAGAAAAACGCAGCACACAAAUUGUGGCCAUGCUUUGACUGUCAGGCCAAAAGCUCCACACACUAUGAAAUAAUGCAUUCGUUACUUAUAUCUGAAUUCAUGAAUCGAUCGUCUUGAGACUUUCAUUGCUUAAAGAUGCCAUUUAUAUAUGUUUUUAUACUAACAAUCAAGUAUUUAUGUAUGUUCAUUAAAGAACCUAACUUCAAUAUACCCUUUCUUACACAUUUUAA